rnacentral:rRNA from 1 species
AAUGCAUCGGAACGUGCCCAGUCGUGGGGGAUAACGCAGCGAAAGCUGCGCUAAUACCGCAUACGAUCUAUGGAUGAAAGCGGGGGACCGUAAGGCCUCGCGCGAUUGGAGCGGCCGAUGUCAGAUUAGGUAGUUGGUGGGGUAAAGGCUCACCAAGCCAACGAUCUGUAGCUGGUCUGAGAGGAUGAUCAGUCACACUGGAACUGAGACACGGUCCAGACUCCUACGGGAGGCAGCAGUGGGGAAUAUUGGACAAUGGGCGAAAGCCUGAUCCAGCCAUGCCGCGUGUGUGAAGAAGGUCUUCGGAUUGUAAAGCACUUUAAGUUGGGAGGAAGGGUAGUAACUUAAUACGUUGCUACUUUGACGUUACCGACAGAAUAAGCACCGGCUAACUUCGUGCCAGCAGCCGCGGUAAUACGAAGGGUGCUAGCGUUGCUCGGAAUUACUGGGCGUAAAGGGAGCGUAGGCGGACAUUUAAGUCAGAGGUGAAAUCCCGGAGCUUAACUUCGGAACUGCCUUUGAUACUGGGUGUCUUGAGUGUGAGAGAGGUAUGUGGAACUCCGAGUGUAGAGGUGAAAUUCGUAGAUAUUCGGAAG